UUUGAUUUUCUCCCCCAGACCUUCGCCGGGGAGUGCCGGGAGUUGUAGUCUUCCUCCCGCCUGUGCAGCGCUCCUUCUCAUGGGCUGCUUGCUGGGACCGAGCUGAAGAAAUUGCUGCUGAAAUUUUAGAAAGCCACUGAAACAAUAAAGUCGCCAUCGCUGUCCCGUAUCGAAGCCAAAAUUGUGGUUCGUCUAGAGAUUUACCGUCUGGCGUGAAAAGCUACACCUGGGGGGGAAAAAAACUCCACAAUGCGGCA